rnacentral:rRNA from 1 species
CCUACGGGUGGCAGCAGUAGGGAAUUUUCGUCAAUGGGGGGAACCCUGACCGAGCAACGCCGCGUGAACGAAGAAGUUAUUCGUAAUGUAAAGUUCUUUUUACAGGGAAGAAAGAGAAAUUUGACGGUACCUGAAGAAUAAGCUUCGGCUAACUACGUGCCAGCAGCCGCGGUAAUACGUAGGGAGCGAGCGUUAUCCGGAAUUAUUGGGCGUAAAGGGUGCGUAGAUGGCAUAGUAAGUCUUUUGUAAAAAUGCUGGGCUCAACCCAGUAGGGCAAAAGAUACUGGAAAGCUAGAGUAUGGAAGAGGCAGGUGGAACUACAUGUGUAGCGGUAAAAUGCGUAGAUAUAUGUAAGAACACCAGUGGCGAAGGCAGCUUGCUGGGUCGAUACUGACACUGAGGCACGAAAGCGUGGGUAGCGAACAGGAUUAGAUACCCGAGUAGUC